GCGUUCAUAGCGACGUUGC
rnacentral:snRNA from 1 species